UGGCUCAGAUUGAACGCUGGCGGCAGGCUUAACACAUGCAAGUCGAGCGGGGGAAGGUAGCUUGCUACUGGACCUAGCGGCGGACGGGUGAGUAAUGCUUAGGAAUCUGCCUAUUAGUGGGGGACAACAUCUCGAAAGGGAUGCUAAUACCGCAUACGUCCUACGGGAGAAAGCAGGGGAUCUUCGGACCUUGCGCUAAUAGAUGAGCCUAAGUCGGAUUAGCUAGUUGGUGGGGUAAAGGCCUACCAAGGCGACGAUCUGUAGCGGGUCUGAGAGGAUGAUCCGCCACACUGGGACUGAGACACGGCCCAGACUCCUACGGGAGGCAGCAGUGGGGAAUAUUGGACAAUGGGGGGAACCCUGAUCCAGCCAUGCCGCGUGUGUGAAGAAGGCCUUAUGGUUGUAAAGCACUUUAAGCGAGGAGGAGGCUACUUUAGUUAAUACCUAGAGAUAGUGGACGUUACUCGCAGAAUAAGCACCGGCUAACUCUGUGCCAGCAGCCGCGGUAAUACAGAGGGUGCGAGCGUUAAUCGGAUUUACUGGGCGUAAAGCGUGCGUAGGCGGCUUAUUAAGUCGGAUGUGAAAUCCCCGAGCUUAACUUGGGAAUUGCAUUCGAUACUGGUGAGCUAGAGUAUGGGAGAGGAUGGUAGAAUUCCAGGUGUAGCGGUGAAAUGCGUAUAGAUCUGGAGGAAUACCGAUGGCGAAGGCAGCCAUCUGGCCUAAUACUGACGCUGAGGUACGAAAGCAUGGGGAGCAAACAGGAUUAGAUACCCUGGUAGUCCAUGCCGUAAACGAUGUCUACUAGCCGUUGGGGCCUUUGAGGCUUUAGUGGCGCAGCUAACGCGAUAAGUAGACCGCCUGGGGAGUACGGUCGCAAGACUAAAACUCAAAUGAAUUGACGGGGGCCCGCACAAGCGGUGGAGCAUGUGGUUUAAUUCGAUGCAACGCGAAGAACCUUACCUGGCCUUGACAUACUAGAAACUUUCCAGAGAUGGAUUGGUGCCUUCGGGAAUCUAGAUACAGGUGCUGCAUGGCUGUCGUCAGCUCGUGUCGUGAGAUGUUGGGUUAAGUCCCGCAACGAGCGCAACCCUUUUCCUUACUUGCCAGCAUUUCGGAUGGGAACUUUAAGGAUACUGCCAGUGACAAACUGGAGGAAGGCGGGGACGACGUCAAGUCAUCAUGGCCCUUACGGCCAGGGCUACACACGUGCUACAAUGGUCGGUACAAAGGGUUGCUACACAGCGAUGUGAUGCUAAUCUCAAAAAGCCGAUCGUAGUCCGGAUUGGAGUCUGCAACUCGACUCCAUGAAGUCGGAACCGCUAGUAAUCGCGGAUCAGAAUGCCGCGGUGAAUACGUUCCCGGGCCUUGUACACACCGCCCGUCACACCAUGGGAGUUUGUUGCACCAGAAGUAGCUAGCCUAACUGCAAAGAGGGCGGUUACCACGGUGUGGCCGAUGACUGGGGUGAAGUCGUAACAAGGUAGCCGUAGGGGAACCUGCGGU
rnacentral:rRNA from 1 species